UUCAUUUUCAAGAAUGAAGUUGAAUGAAUUGGGGGUUGACCUAUAACCUGUGGAAGCAGGACCAUCAAUCCAGACACUGAGGAGCUUCUAAGCAUAAGCAUCAAAUCUUCUCUCAGUAAAUAUCACUGCUAUGCAUACUUGAAGAAGUAGCAUGCUUAAACUACUAAGAACAAGACCUUCACAUCAUCUUUGGGUCUCUCAUUGGCCUGGAACUCACAUAUUGGCUGGCCAGCAAGAACCAGAAAUAGAAUUAUGAGCAUGCAUCACCAUUUCUACCUUGUUUACAUGGUGGUUAAGAGGAUUUGGAAUGACUUCUCUCUUGAUGAGCCUCUAUUAAGACCAAAUAGAGAGCUGUGGGUUACUGUCAAAGUAUGAGUACCAAUACUAUAUUCUUAAGCCCUGAAGUGAGUGUUUUUGUUUCAUUGUAUGCUUCUACCAUAGUCUGUUACUUCACCAUGGGCUCAGAACAACAGGACCAACUGAUCAUCUACUGAAAAAUCUAAAAAUGGAGUUCCUGUCCCCUAAGCAGUAGGAACAGUGAAUAAAACAAAUCUACAAGAUGGAGUAAAGUUGAGCGUGCAAGCUACAAUCAUGGACUGCAAAUGUUCCUGCAUGUGUUCCUGCACAGGAUACAAAAGUGCCCCUUUAUUUCCAGUAUCAAUCACUUACUUUGGAUGAGGAUAGCCAACAAUAGAAUCAAUAUUUAUGAUUUUUGCCCCAUCUGAACAGGGUAUUCCUGUCAGAAAGUUCCCAUGGCCUGUAGAGUAAGUUUGCCAAUGAGAUCUAGCCUCUCUGCUGCUAAAAUGAGAUGGCAUAAAGAUCCAGCUACAUAAGCCAUUUGUUUAAAUCUCCUCAAUGGUUCUUCUGCUGUGCCCCAUUACAAGAAGUAAACACAUCAUUAAAACA